rnacentral:rRNA from 1 species
AUGCACCCGAGGUCGCGCAUUCGCGGACGCGAGCCGCCGGCCCCGCCGCCGCCGUCAUCCGGAGGACGAUACCGCCGACGGUCCCCGCCCCUGCCGCCGCCCUCCCCGCGGCCGCAGCACCACCAGCGCCGGGCCCCGCCGCGGCGCAGCAGCCCCGAACGGCCGCCCCCGCGCCGCCUGCUGGCGUUGGACGAGAAGCCCCUCCCGCCGCCGGCGGCCGCGCUGGUCGUCGCCGCCGAACGGCGCUGGCGCAACGACGUGCUCCUCGAGGCCGGCCGCCUGGCCGCCCACUACCUGGUCGCGCAGGGCGUCCUCCCCGACCACGUUCUCCACGCCCGGGAAGACCCCAGCCCCAAGCACCACCACGUUCUCCACGCCAGGGACGACCCCAAGCAGCACCCCAUCCCCAGCCCCCGCCCCGAGAUCUCCGCCCCCGCCGGCUACGCCAGGAAGAGGGAUGACGACGGAGACGACCCCAGAUGGCGGAGGAACGGAGGAGGAGGCGGCGGCGCCGACUGGGGCCGCGACAAGAGGGACGAGGACGACGGCGCCAGGCUAGCCCGGGCCAAGUCCGGCUGGGACCGGAGGACCCAGAGCUUUGACGGAAGACGCAGGUACAACGAGGGCGAUGGCGGACGCGGUGCUGGCGGUGAUGCCGACAGGGGCGUUCGCCGGAGCCACCCGUACGACGAGAAGAGGAGACCCGCCAUGUCACGCUCCUACUCGCAGAACGACCGCCGGGCCUCCAGCGACGACCGCCGGCCGGCCCCCAUCGAUGACCGCCGGCCCUCUGUUGACCGCAGACUGGACCGCAAGCGGAGGAGCAGAAGCAGGAGUAGAAGCCGGAGCCGGAGCCGAAGCAGAACCAGGCCCAGGAGCUCUUACAGCGGCGGCCGGAGGGAUCCAGACUGGCGACCACGCGGUGGUGAUUUCGAUCAGCCACGCAGUGGCGAUCUGGAUCAGAGCAAGGUGCCAGCAGAGUCUGCAACUGUUGCCAGCCGCGACGGUGAUGUGGACGGCGAUGAUGUCGAUAAACUGCCAAUGGAUCCAAAGAUUCCUCGCUCGGAGGUGGUGAUGGUGGAGGCGACUGACGGUGCCGGCCGUGAAGAUGAAGCUGCGGUGGAACCAGAGCAUGAUGGUGCCAGACAUGAAGAUGAAGAGGCAGAGUAUGAGUAUGAGGAGGUUGUGGAAUCAGAUGAUCAUGGUGAAGAUGAUGAUGGUGUCACCUAUGAAUAUGAAGAGAUGGAAACAGAGGACAAUGGUCAGGACGAUGAGGCUGCUGCUGUUGCUGGCUUGAAUGAUGCUGAUGCUGAUGCUGCUGAAAUAAAUGCCAGCCACCAACUGCCCAUGGUGGAUGUUCAUCCAUCACAGCCUGAUGAGGAACCGGGGCACACGCAGCCCCAGCUCAGCGACGUCGAGGAGGACACGGAGGCGGGCGUUGCGCGUGUGGAUGCAUGCCUGAUUGAACCAGUGGCUGACAACAGUGGUUGUUCUGAAGUUAGAGGUGAAACGGAGGCUCCGCAAAGUCAACCUGAAACUGAACCUCAAGUUAGAGGUGAAAUGGAGGUUCUGCAGAGUGAACCUGAAACUGAACUUCAAGUUGUGGGUGAAAUGGCGGCUCCACAGAGUGAACUUGAAACUGAACUUCAAGUUGCCGAUGAAAUGGAGGCUCCGCAGAGUGAACGUGAAACUGAGCUUCAGGUUGCAGGUGAAAUGGAGGCUCCUCAAAGUGAACCUGAAACUGAACUUCAAGUUGCCGAUGAGAUGGAGGCUCCGCAAAGUGAACUUGAAACAGAACUUCAAGUUGAUACUCAAAUUCAAGAUAAACGUGCAGAUGAAAACCAACAGUUCGAGGAUGAUCAGGUGCUUCUAAAUCAGGGUAUUGGCAUGCAUGAUUUGGAUAGGAACUACCAGAACAGCGAGCAGAUGCUUAUAAAUCAGAUCACCGAUGAGCAUGGACAGGGUGAUCAACAGCUGGAGGGCGAGCAAAUGCUUUUAAACAAUGAGGAAACAAUGCUAAAGCAAGAUGCGGAGGAGCAGGUGGAGAAUGAGCAAUUCCUACCUGAUCGUGCUGCAGACGUUAAUCACCAGAUAAAGGAGGAACAAAUGCUUCUAGAUCAUGUUACAGUUGUGCAUGACUUGGAUCAUUGUGAUCUGAACGGUGAACAGAUGCUACUAACAGAUGAUUCAGUUAAUAAAUCUGCAGUUGAUGGGGGCCAGUUGAAGGAUGGGCAAAUGGACCGGGCAGCAAAGAGACAAGCUACACUUCGCAGCCUGGACAAUGGCCAAAUGAUGAUUCCUAUAAUUAAUUUGGAUGACGACGACGAUGAUGAUGAUUAUGCAGAGCAGCCUGGUACCAGAGAGUUCUUAGAACCCAAAAGUGAUGCCUUACACGUGGAUAAUUUUCUGCCAGAACGUAUGUGUUCUCAAGACGAGCAAGCCGGAAGCUUUCCUGACCAUCAGACUAACAUCCCAGCAUCUUCUUCAUCGGUUCCACCACAUUCCGGGAAUAGGUGGACUGGGAUGGGAGCUGUCAAUGCACAGGGAAUUCCCAGUGAUGAUGGCGUCCUAUAUGGUGGUGCGUUUGACAAGAUACCAUUAGAAGUGAUCAACGUGUGGGACCUGCCGUCAUCCGAGCUGGGGAAGUCCUGA